AAGGCCAUACCACGUUGAAAACACCGGUUUUCGUCCGAUCACCGAAGUUAAGCAACGUCGGGCCCGGUCAGUACUUGGGAGGGUGAUAACUUAUUGUUUGUUA